CAGCAUUGUGCAAUGGCCUUUGGUUUUUCUUGUAACCAGUUAGGUCUGAAACCAAUGCAAAAGAAAUUUCCUUUUUCCACGAGAAACNNNN
rnacentral:snoRNA from 1 species